rnacentral:lncRNA from 1 species
GGGAAGUACACCGAAAAGAACACCAGCAAGAACUCGUCACGGCGUCCCAUACCACCGGAGUGUACACCAAAAGGUCAAUCCAUCAACAUAUCCUCCGAAUUCGCCGGACAUCAUCAUAACAUCAUCAUAUCUUUUGGAUUCACCGGGAAUCAUCAUAACAUCAUUAUAUUUUCCGGAUUCUCUGGGUAUCAUCAUAACAACAUUACCCCCUCCGGAUUCAUGGGCAUCAUCAUUACAUCAACAUAUCCUUCAGAUUCACCAGGCAUCAUCAUAGCAUCAUUAUAUCCUCUGGAUUCACAGG